UACGUAGGUGGCGAGCGUUAUCCGGAAUGAUUGGGCGUAAAGAGCGCGUAGGCGGGAUAGCAAGUCAGAUGUGAAAUCCUAUGGCUUAACCAUAGAACUGCAUUUGAAACUGUUAUUCUAGAGUAUGGGAGAGGUAGGUGGAAUUCUUGGUGUAGGGGUAAAAUCCGUAGAGAUCAAGAGGAAUACUCAUUGCGAAGGCGACCUGCUAGAACAUAACUGACGCUGAUGCGCGAAAGCGUGGGGAGCAAACAGG
rnacentral:rRNA from 1 species